UUGAAGUCAGGCCACUUGUGCCACGGCUUGAGCAAACCGUGCUGCCUGUAGCUCCGCCAAUAACGGGAGGCGUNANAAUUCCCAGGGAGGCCAUGCGCCACGGAAGCUGUACGCGUGGCAUAUUGGACUAGCGGUUAGAGGAGACCCCUCCCAUCACUAACAAAACGCAGCAAAAGGGGGCCCGAAGCCAGGAGGAAGCUGUACUCCUGGUGGAAGGACUAGAGGUUAGAGGAGACCCCCCCAACACAAAAACAGCA
rnacentral:lncRNA from 1 species